rnacentral:lncRNA from 1 species
AGUAAGGUCGUCGAAUCCACAUCAAAGGAGGGUCCUAAUCUAAAUAAGUUGGGGAAAUUUGAUAAAUCGGGUCUUUUAAGAAUGAUAUAUAUGCAUUGAAAAUUUCUAUUCAAUAUCCAAAUAAUGCCUCACCGCUAAUAGUUUAUGCGGACUUUAUACCGUACCAUCGCAGCAUGUCUAUUAGUGCAACUGAGGAGUGAAGACUACGACAUUGGGAUAUAUAAUUAUAUGAUGUAGCAUGCGUUCAUUAGAACUUCUUAUAUGUAACUAGCUAUAAAUAAAUUAAUGGUUCUUGAAUUCUUGUUACAAUAUUGGUUGCAGUAUGAUUUUUUAUCUUCUACUUCUUGAAAUGUCCAUGGGCCAUGAAGCAGCACGUAAUAGUUAACAGACAAACAACUUCGGAUG